AGUGAAAGACACCUACCUUAGUCAGAAAAACAAAAAAAAUUCUUCUACCCGCAAGAGUUCGCUCUACUGAAUCUCUCCCUCACUCUAUGAAGUCGCUCUGUUCCUUCUAUCCAUCGUCGCCUUCAUCGCUUCUCUCAUUGUAGUCAGGUAAGAACCCUAAUUUUCAGAUUGGGAAUUGAAUUGUCUGUAUCAAUUGGGUUUUCUCUCUUGCCUCUCUAGAGAGAGAAAGUAGAUCUAAAAUCAAUUCCUCUGCCGCUCCCCCUUCUCCGAAUUCCCGAUCUGAUUCAGCAGAGCGAAGCCCAGGUGUUGACAGCGAAGUCUCCUUCACUAUAACCUAUGACGCUGUGUUGAUGACAUUAUCCGCUUCCCUCCAGUUUAUGGAGUAAUACAAGCGAGUGGUACAAUGAGACUACAACUUUGAACAAUGGGAAUUCGGUUGAGUUCGAUGGGUACAUGAGGGUAGAAGUGGAUACUGAUGUUCUUUACAGGGCAAAGACGAGAGUGGAAACGUUCUAUAAUUUGACAAAGGAUUGCAAGGAUGGAGUCUUUACAUGCUGACCAGGCUUCUUGUUGUUUUCGCUUAUUUCAUCAUUAUAUUGAUGGUUGGCUAUUCCAGUUGGUCACGGUCUGGAGUUAAGAUCAAGUCUUCAAACACGGUAUUGGAAACACGGAGAGGGUUGGCCUUUUGCACAGUUUUUCCAACUUUUCAUUUUAGUUUUGAUACUCUUUGGAUGUAGUUGAUAUGAAUAAUAACAUUUACUGAAUAUAUUGAGGUUGUAGUGAAAAUAUUGAUUCUCAAUUAGCUUGUUAUUCGAUCUUACAUAUCAAUAUUGUUUUUAUGGUGAUAUGUAUCUGUAACAAGAAAAAGAAAAUUCUAAUUUUAA